rnacentral:rRNA from 1 species
AUGCAAGUCGAGCGGGCUUAUUCGGGCAACUGGAUAAGUUAGCGGCGAACUGGUGAGUAACACGUAGGUAAUCUGCCGUAGAGUGGGGGAUAACCCAUGGAAACAUGGACUAAUACCGCAUAUACUCUUGACGCUAAAGCGUAGUAGAGGAAAGGAGCAAUCCGCUUUACGAUGAGCUUGCGGCCUAUUAGCCUGUUGGUGAGAUAAAAGCCCACCAAAGCUACGAUAGGUAGCCGACCUGAGAGGGUGACCGGCCACAUUGGGACUGAGAUACGGCCCAGACUCCUACGGGAGGCAGCAGCUGAGAAUCUUCCACAAUGGACGAAAGUCUGAUGGAGCGACAUCGCGUGAGGGAUGAAGGCCUUCGGGUUGUAAACCUUGGAAAUUAUCGAAGAAUGAGUGACAGUAGAUAAUGUAAGCCUCGGCUAACUACGUGCCAGCAGCCGCGGUAAUACGUAGGAGGCAAACGUUGCUCGGAUUUACUGGGCGUAAAGGGUGAGUAGGCGGAACUAUAAGUCUAAGGUGAAAUAUCGAAGCUCAACUUCGGAGACGCCUCGGAUACUGUGGUUCUUGGAUAUUGUAGGGGAUGAUGGAAUUCUCGGUGUAGCGGUGGAAUGUAUAGAUAUCGAGAAGAACACCUAUAGCGAAGGCAGUCAUCUGGGCAUUUAUCGACGCUGAAUCACGAAAGCUGGGGGAGCAAACAGGCUUAGAUACCCUGGUAGUCCCAGCCGUAAACGUUGCACACUAGGUGCUCCUAUUAAAAUAGGCGUGCCGUAGCUAACGUCUUAAGUGUGCCGCCUGAGGAGUAUGCCCGCAAGGGUGAAACUCAAAGAAAUUGACGGGUCCCCGCACAAGUGGUGGAGCAUGUGGUUUAAUUCGAUGAUACGCGAAAAACCUUACCUGGGUUUGAAUUGU